GACUGGCUCUCACGCCCCGCGGUCGCGCGGCGCGGGCCUUUAAAGAGGACCGGAAGUGGCGUGCGCAAGAGGGGCGCGCGGGUACCAUCGAGAACAAGGAGCGCUGGUUCGAGGGCGCGGCUAGAGAGGCCUCCCCCGCCCCCGUCCCUUGGCCCCGCCCUUCCGCGGAUUCCUGGAGUCACCGGCCGCUCCUCGGCUUUGGUUGGCAGGCGCGGCCGACCUGGAGGGGUGUGGUUCGUCCAUCCCCAGCGGAGACUUCGUGGAGGCUGCCCUCAGGGAGCCACGGCUGUGGGCCCCGGGACCUGCGUGGGGCAGCGGGCCGCGCCUGUGCAGUGCUCCGCCGUCCCUGCGCCGGGUGACAUUGAGGCUCCGCCGCGGCGCUGUCCAAAGGCGGCUUUGAUGGUCGAGGCUGCCUCUUCUCAGAGUUGCUUCCCUAGUCUUAAGCUUUGCCUCCGUUAUUACAAGAGCCUAACGCCGGCCACGAUUCUUUGAAGUCACUAUGGAUUGGGAAGUGUAUGUAUUAAGGUCGACUCCAGGGCUCCUUUUUUUUUACGAGUUACAGUCCUUGUAUUAAACAGGAUAUAUAAAUGUCAUGAAUCAUCU
rnacentral:lncRNA from 1 species